AAAUUAAAAUAUGAAUUCUUAAUAGUACAAACUGUAAAAAAAAAAAAAAAAAAAGAAAAGAAAAUGGAAAAGGGGAAAAAUAUAUACAAGAUUACAAAAAUUAAAUUAACCUCCUUUUACUGAAAUGCCUAUUUAGAACUUAUCAGGGGAAAAUGAAUUAAAGCUUCAUAAAAGUCGAUUAAUAUGUUUCGAAAAUUUGUUUCAUUCUCCUGGUUCAUUUGAAAUCAAAAACCAAAAAAGAAUCUAUUAAAUUUUCAUUUAAGACAUUAAAAUUCAUAGAAAAUCGAAUCUCAAAUAUACCAGGAUUUUCUCUACACACCUUCAAAAUACUUGGAAAAAAAAAAAAAAAAAAAAACAAUAUUAUGCAAACUGACUACUCAAAAUAAAAACCACAAAACUUUACAUUAUGUAAAAAGACCAUUAAAUAUCAAAUUGGUGUACAGUUAUAAUAUGCAAAUACGAAAUUCAAAAGCACCUAAAUAUAAAGAGCAAAACAAACAUACUUUAAAACAAAUUGUCAUUUAAAACAACACUAAAAAAUGGGUGGUCCUCGAUUAUGCUAAACUAAACUUUUAAUGCCAAGAAAACGAAAAACUUUUCAUAAAGAUUCUGUAAAUAAUGAAAUCGAAUUUGAGCCUUUAUCAGUUAAAAACUAGAAAGAAAGAAAAAUUCAGUCAAGAAAAUAUAAAACAAAUUGCAAUAAAAUUGUGCACAAUAAAGACCCUCCUCCCCCCACACACAGAGCAUUAAAAGACUAUAAUGUUGUAAAAUUAAAGGGCCAGUGAGUUUACUUACAUUUGUGUAGAUACUAUUAGAUAAAAUUCUGUAUUUUUAGUAAAAAAAUUUAAUUAGCAAAAGACAAAAAUUUCAAUCUAGUACAAUUCAGUAAAACUUUUUUUUUGGGGGGGGGAGGGAAUACUGAAUCUUGUUUAAAAAAAAGUUUUUAUGACUUUGAUUUUAAAAAAAAAAAUUGCCAUUCUUCAAAUUUUUUGUUUGAAUUCCAGUAUUAUUUGGCAGCAAGGUAGAGGAAGCAUCUGAAUGAAGAAAUCUGGACAGAUGGAUUUGAUAGAAUGUUCUAAAUCUCAUGGCAGUUGUGUUUAAUUUCCCAUUAAAUGUAGUCAUUUAAAGACAAAAUGUGAUCUUUCUGAGAAGAAAAAGAGAAAAUUAACUUUACGAAUGUCUCUUUUUAAAAAUAUGAUGGACUCUUUGAGCUUGAAAUUUAUGAAAUCUCAAACAGACUCUGAUGCAAAAAUUUUACAUAAACUUGAACAAAUUGAAAAUGAAAGGACUGCUGUGGAUGAAAGGAUUCAAAGAAUGUGGUUGGAAUUUGAAGAAAAGCAAAAAGCAGAUGAAAGAGAGCAUGAGCUUAAAAUCAUGGCAACAUUUCAAGACAUGAUUAAUCAAGUUAAAGUGAAUAAUGUUAAUAAGUAACUAUAAUUAUGCCAUGCAGUUUUGUUUAACUCAAGAAGAUAGACAAAUAAGUCACAGUUUUUUAGUUUCCACAUCAAUUUUUAGUUUCCAAUACAUUUAUAUCAUCUAAUAUUGGAACAAACAGAACUGAUUUCAGUACUGUGCAUUUGUUUUUAAUAAAUUUCAAAAUAUUGUUUUUA
rnacentral:lncRNA from 1 species